UACAGUAAUGCCAGGAUACUGUAUGUGCUGUCAAGUGUGGUCGACAGAAAUGUAAAGAUACCCAAACUCACCCCCGUCUCAAACACAAUUGCAAAAGAAAACAUAGUAUUUAAAAGUGUUACUGGAAUCUUUAAACUCCCUAAGGACUCGAGACAAGACUUAACAAAACAACCUCUGAGCAAACGUGUCUUGCAUGUGCAUAUUGAUCUUGCAUAAAGACGAUUCAAACUAAAUGAAUUGACAAAACUCUCUGUAAUUUCAGCGCAGGUCCCAACAGACACACACCAAAGAAAUUUCUCCUCUCAUAUCCUCUGCUGAAAACAGCUGAGUGUGUGAGCAGCUGUGACUCCAAGGUGAGCUGAUAGAAGAAUGUAAACAAACCAGAGUGACCAGCAUGGCUUCCAAACAGUGAGGCUGGGAAUAACAGGUGGCAAUUCACUAAGUUAUGGUUCAAUAAACUUGUAAAUAUAAUAAUACACUUAUUCUCUGAGGGUAGACAAAGUGAAAUAUGACAUGCUGGGUUUUAAAUGUGCCAUAAUGUCUAAAUAAAUUGAGAUUAGUAAGAAAAACUCCUUUUAUUUUGAUUUCUAGUGGGGUUUAUUUGACACUGUAUGAAUGUGCCUCCCUUAGGCUAAGGUAUGGCUCAGAUCCACACCUUGCCAUCCUCAAUUAACGCCCACAUUUCGCCUGAACAGUAAGCUUACUAUACUCUUCCUUGAUCCCCAAAUACAGUUAUUCCACUCGAGUUACAGCACUCCUUUAGUUCCAGUCUCUCUCCAGUCUGGCAGGUUACAGGGUGGCUCUCUCCUCUCGCCUUCAGGUGACUCCAAAGACGCACCGUAGAAACCCCGGAGGUUUCCCCUCUCUGGGAUUACAUUCUUGUCACGUUCAGCAAAAAAAGGGCAGGAAUUAGAUGACCAAACAGGUCCCUGAGAAGAGAGUCCUCUCACUUCGCCUCCACGCCUCCAACUCCGCUUCCAAUAUUGUCUUCUUGUCCGUUACGCCGCGCUUAUCCGUUCAAACUUGAUUACAGCAUGACAGGAGGACUGAAGGACGGCGAGAAGGAAGAGGAGUGUCUGCAUUCGCCGUUCAUCCGAAAGCAAGGGAACAUAUACAAACCUAACAACAAAGACAUGGACAACGACAGCAUGAACGAGAAGACCAUGGAUGAUAUCCACACCAAAGAGAUCGACCUGGUCAACCGGGACCCGAA